CGCCACGUGAUAUAGCACAAACAACGGCGAGUGAGCAGCAAUAGCUCAAAUUUGAAAUCUGGCGUCUUCGACGUCCGAGUUGUAAUUUGUAGAGGAUGCUUCUGAGUAACCACCGACCUAAGUUCCUUGGAACAGGACGUCAUAGAGGGUGAGAAUCCCGUAUGCGGUCGGAAAGGUGCUCUAUACGUAGCUCCUUCGACGAGUCGAGUUGUUUGGGAAUGCAGCUCUAAAUGGGAGGUAAAUUUCUUCUAAAGCUAAAUAUUGGCCAGAGACCGAUAGCGCACAAGUAGAGUGAUCGAAAGAUGAAAAGCACUUUGGAAAGAGAGUUAAAAAGCACGUGAAAUUGUUAAAAGGGAAGGGAUUGCAACCAGACUUGCUCGCGGUGUUCCGCCGGUCUUCUGACCGGUCUACUCGCCGCGUUGCAGGCCAGCAUCGUCUGGUGCCGCUGGAUAAGACUUGAGGAAUGUAGCUCCCUCGGGAGUGUUAUAGCCUCUUGUGAUGCAGCGAGCGCCGGGCGAGGUCCGCGCUUCGGCUAGGAUGCUGGCGUAAUGGUCGUAAUCCGCCCGUCUUGAAACACGGACCAAAACCAAAAAUAUUUUUUUAGUAUGUGUAGUUUAUUUUUUUUUUUCUUUUUUCUUUUUUUUUUUUUUCUCUUCUUUCGA
rnacentral:rRNA from 2 species